GUCUUGGACCUAGCAAGACUAGCACCCUUCUGCCUGGAGUUAGUCACCCCUUCAUAAAGCUGUGCGUGGAAACCAGGACCUAGGGACAGAUCUUCCCAGGGCUUUCGAAGCCAGAAUCUGCAUGAGACUUUCCAAGAUGGUGACACAAGGGCGCACAUGGACACCCACUGCUCACAAGGGCUGCAAGCUUCUGCUUCCGUUCUGUUCAGAUGUGAAGAGUUUGAGCCUCGUGCCCCUGCUACCAGGACCUCUGCCAUAACUUCCUCUGCUAAAGGCAACCAAACAAACCCGUCAUUUCUUGUUAUUUUUCAGAGAAACAAGAAAAGUAACUAAUAC